CUGCACAAACCGCAGGUAAGGCGGCAAAUCUUUUUACGCGGUGCCGUGCGGACGGACAGACGUGCGCCGGCAGCUGAUAUCGUAUGGGCCAAGACCGAACGGCUCCCAAAGGGACCAGGAUAUGCGAGGUGAGUUCGCCUUGUUAACGCGUAAAGCAACAUUUAUCUCGAGAAACACUCCUGUUAACGCUGAGAUGCGUACGCCUGGCAUGAGAGGUUGUUCACUUCUGCGAUUCUUGG
rnacentral:lncRNA from 1 species